rnacentral:rRNA from 1 species
GAUGAACGCUGGCGGCGUGCCUAAUACAUGCAAGUCGAGCGAACAGACGAGGAGCUUGCUCCUCUGACGUUAGCGGCGGACGGGUGAGUAACACGUGGAUAACCUACCUAUAAGACUGGGAUAACUUCGGGAAACCGGAGCUAAUACCGGAUAAUAUAUUGAACCGCAUGGUUCAAUAGUGAAAGACGGUUUUGCUGUCACUUAUAGAUGGAUCCGCGCCGCAUUAGCUAGUUGGUAAGGUAACGGCUUACCAAGGCAACGAUGCGUAGCCGACCUGAGAGGGUGAUCGGCCACACUGGAACUGAGACACGGUCCAGAUUCCUACGGGAGGCAGCAGUAGGGAAUCUUCCGCAAUGGGCGAAAGCUUGACGGAGCAACGCCGCGUGAGUGAUGAAGGUCUUCGGAUCGUAAAACUCUGUUAUUAGGGAAGAACAAAUGUGUAAGUAACUAUGCACGUCUUGACGGUACCUAAUCAGAAAGCCACGGCUAACUACGUG